GCCCCUGUGACGUAAUUGGAAAACGUAGCCAGCUUAGACCUGGUUUUUUACAGGUUCGAGUCCUGUCAGGGGCA
rnacentral:tRNA from 1 species